rnacentral:rRNA from 1 species
GCGAACGCUGGCGGCAGGCCUAAUACAUGCAAGUCGAGCGCCCGCAAGGGAGCGGCAGACGGGAGAGUAACACGUGGGAACGUACCCUUCAGUUCGGAACAACCAAGGGAAACUUUGGCUAAUACCGGAUACGUCCGAAAGGAGAAAGAUUUAUCGCAACUGGAUGGGCCCGCGUCAGAUUAGGUAGUUGGUGGGGUAAUGGCCUACCAAGCCUACGAUCUGUAGCUGGUCUAAGAGGAUGGUCAGCCACACUGGGACUGAGACACGGCCCAGACUCCUACGGGAGGCAGCAGUGAGGAAUCUUGGACAAUGGGGGAAACCCUGAUCCAGCGAUGCCGCGUGAGUGAAGAAGGUCUUCGGAUUGUAAAGCUCUUUCGACAGGGAAGAUGAUGACGGUACCUGUAGAAGCAGCCCCGGCUAACUCCGU